AAAGUGGACAACAUUGUUGAAGGGUGAGCCCAAGGUUGUGAUGGGAUGAUGAGGGAGAGAACAAGUUGGAAGGAGUGAAGAUGGUAAGUGGGGGUGUGCAUGAAAUGAAUCAAAUCAAAGCAACAAAAACAAUGAAGUUAGAAGUUGAAACCCUAACACCCCUUUGAGAUAAUGAUAAUAAGGGUAAAGGUAAGAGUGAGAGAGGAUGAAGAGUGCAGGCAGAGGCUGUCAAUUCCGGCCCCAACUCGAAAAGGUUAAUGAGGACGCAAACGCACCACAUAGAUAUAUACAUGCUCCAAUCCUAAACGCCACACCAAUCCUCUAAAAGGUAAUGAUGAAGUUGGGGUCCUUUCACUACCCUUCUGGCAUGUGUACUGCAAAACAACUUCCUGUAAAGCUUAGCAGGUAUGUCUGUACCAUGAUGGAACUCUGUGUACUAUCACGAAUCAUUGAAUGCUUUUACUUCAUGGAUAUUUGGGGUAACAUUAUUUCCCUCUCCUCCUUUCCUGUUCCCUUUGUGUUAUCUAUAUUUCAAUCUUCAAUUUUUUUUUCUCUGAGUGAAGAAAAUCUCUUACUGGCCAGUGGUUAAUGGCUAAUGGCUAUCAUAUCAGAUUGGCUAAUGGCCAUCAUAUCAGAAGGGGCAUGAUUAGUUUUUAACUUUUUGUGUGAUGUAUUUAUGUUUGUGUUGCAUUGUCAGUGAUUUUGAUCCUUGUGUGCAGGAAAAUCUAGAUUAGUUGCCCCUCAGAAUACAUCAAAUUGUUUGCUUAACUAGAUAUAUGGCACAUGUGCUGCUUUCCUAUCUAUAAAUAGUAUGUACUUCAGUUCCAGUUCAUACUUUCCAUUUGGUCUUUUUUUUCAUGUUUUAGGGUUUGUUUGGUUGAUAAGAGGGAGAAGAGGAAAAUUAAUUUGGUUUAUGGAGAAGAGAAUCAUAGUUAAUUUGGAAAAAGAAAAUGAAAUUCAUUCUACUAUUCUUUUUACCUUUUGUUUUUUAUCUUUAGGUUUUAUCACAUCAAUCAAAUUACAUAUCUUAUAAGAAAAAAAUUCUCUACUUUUCAAAUACUCUUUUUACUAAAUAAUUAUAUUAUUUAUUUAUUUAUUUAUUUUGUCAACUUAUUUAUACUUUUGUAUUUAUUUUCUCGCAACCAAACGUCCUUGAUUUCGUUUGUUCUAUAAGGACUUCACACAUUUGUGUUCCGGGGAAUUAAAGCAUUGGCUUGACUUGUGGAAAUUGUUGUUGUAAGGUUUAACAACUACCACUAUUCUUUUGUUUAAAAUUUGCAUUUAAGUAUAGUAAACACUUCAUUAAAUGUGAAGUUAUAAAUGAUGAUAAAACUUAUUCAAACAAUUUUAAAAAUGAUAAUAAAAGUAAUAAGUAAUAUUCAUAAAUAUAAAUCAUGUAAAUACUGUUUUAAACGUCCUCUAGUUCUAUACCUAUCUUCACUUUUUUUCUUUUCGUAUUUUAAUUUGAUUUUUAUGCUAUUUUGGAGAUAAGUUGAAACGGGAGCCUGAGAAUUGGAAGCAAAAAAAACAUGUUAUUAUAAUGAAAAAUAAGAAUUCCAAUGAGAAUUUUUAAGAGGGGGAUUUUAGUAUGGUUCAGGUUCAUAUGAUUAUUAGAUUUGUUAUAUUUAUAUUACCAUUUUCAUAUAUAAAUAUGUCAAAGAUGGUAAGCAAAUAACUUAGGUAAGGAAAGUAAUAUUGGGUAAAAUGAAAGAAUAUGAGUUAUAAGAUUGAAUAUAUAAUUAACUAAAUAUUUUAUAAUAGAACUGAAGUAAAAUUUCCUUUCAUUGUGUAUAAUUAAUAAAAUAUUCUAAUAAGAAAAAUAACAUAUAAUUAGUUAUUUUGUGUCAAUAUCUUUCAAAUUGAAAGUAAAAACAGUGCAUAUGGAUGGGAAAAUGUUCUACUUUUCGUCUUUGGAAACAUGAGUAAGAUGGUUUUUAUUUCAUUCAAAAGUCUUUCAAUCAAUUCUAACACAUUGUGAGGACCAACUUAACAUAUACAUAUUUAAGAUAAAAAGUUGAAUGAAGUUCUUUACAUUCUUAUCAUCCAAGUUUUUCAUUAAUAUGAAUGAUGACAUGUGAAUAUUCUUUCCAAUAAUUCCAUCAAAUAUGUGCAGUAAAAUUUUGAUUAUACAUUUCCAAGUCAUCAUGACAUAUUAUAUCGAGAACAUGUUGAUGUUAAAAGUAGGAUUAUCUAUAUAAUUUAUCCACAUAUGCAUGUCGUAUUUUCUAGGACCACUAUUCAAGAAUUUUGGUUUACACGAGGAGAGAUUGUCCAGGAAUUUUCUUUGGAAGCAACAAUUGAUAAACAUGUUAGAAAUUUGUGACCAUGUUUGGAGAUUCUAAAUGAGUUGAAACAAAAAAUUACUCAGACUCCAUUAAUGUAUGUGGGAGUUUCAUUCAAUGAAUUGCCUUUGACAA